AGAUGGCACGGUAUCGCGAGAGCGGAGUGCCGCGACCGCAGCGCUGGAUGGCGCUGGUGGGGGCUGGAUGCGCCCACGGCUCGCCCUCUCUCCCGUUAAAUCACACUGUAGGACACGCGAUCGGACGGAGACUGGCGGCGACAGCAGCCGGGGCAAACUGAAAAAGGAGAAGAGAGCAUCAAAGGGGUCCCCCCAUGGGACAUCAACAUUUAUCUGACAGAAUCUGCCAAAGGACGCUUUGGACACGCUCGCAUGUCCUCAAACACAAACUGCUAAAUCCAAGGAGCUAAAAAAAGAAAAACAAAAAGCCUGGCUACAGCAAGUGGACAGAUUUUAAAGUAAAAGCACGGCUAGAGAGGGGGAGGGUUGUAUGGGUGCCAAAUCCCCAUCCAAGACACACCACAUCUCCUCGAUCUGCCACUGCUGCCUCCCUCCUCGUCCUCCCCACACAUCUUCCUCCUCCUCCUCCGCAUUUCUCUCAUUCUCCCUUUCUUCUCUCUCAUGGGAGUGACAUAGAGGCCGUCGCUUGGUCUGCUGCCCCGCCCCUUCCCCGCCUCGCUGUGGAAACGGGGGCGUCCAGGUAGUGAUGUCGUGGAAGAGGAACUACUUUGCAUCGGGUGGCGGAGCGGUAGGCGGGGUGCAGGGGCUGGUGACCCCGAGAACCAUGACCUCCAUCGCACCCAGUAAAGGCCUGAGCAACGAGCCGGGACAGAACAGCUGCUUCCUCAACAGCGCUCUGCAGGUUCUGUGGCAUCUCGACAUCUUCCGCAGAAGCUUUCGACAGCUGACCACUCACAAGUGCAUGGAGGACUCGUGUAUCUUCUGCGCUUUGAAGAGUAUCUUUGCUCAGUUCCAGUUCAGCAGUGAGCGUGUGCUGCCAUCAGAUGCACUGCGGAGCGCGCUGGCCAAGACUUUCCAAGACGAGCAACGCUUUCAGCUGGGUAUCAUGGAUGACGCUGCCGAGUGCUUUGAGAAUCUCCUGAUGCGUAUCCACUUCCACAUCAGUGCGGAGAGCAGAGAGGACAUCUGCACGGCCAAACACUGCAUACCACACCAGAAGUUCGCCAUGACGCUGUUCGAACAGUGUGUUUGUAACAGCUGUGGAGCCACAUCAGACCCCCUGCCCUUCAUUCAGAUGGUUCAUUACAUCUCCACUACAUCCCUCUGUAACCAGGCAGUGAGGAUGCUGGAGUGCAGAGAGAAACCCACGCCGGACAUGUUCGGAGAACUGCUCCGCAAUGCCAGCAACAUGGGAGACCUGCGCAACUGCCCUAGUAACUGUGGGGAGGUGCUGCGUAUCCGCCGGGUGCUGAUGAACUCACCGGAGAUAGUGUCCAUCGGGCUGGUGUGGGACUCAGACCACUCAGACCUGGCGGAAGACGUCAUACACAGCCUGGGGACCUGCCUGCGUCUGGGAGAUUUGUUCUACCGUGUGACAGAGGAGAGGGCUCGCCAGGCGGAGCUCUACUUGGUGGGCAUGGUUUGCUACUACGGCAAGCACUACUCCACCUUCUUCUUCCAGACCAAGAUACGCAAGUGGAUGUACUUCGACGACGCCCACGUCAAAGAGAUCGGCCCUAAGUGGAAGGACGUGGUGUCUCGCUGUAUCAAAGGCCACUAUCAGCCCCUGCUGCUGCUCUACGCUGACCCCCGUGGGACGCCGGUGAUACUGCAGGAGAGUCCCAACCCCUGUACCAGCUCCAACCCGCAGCUGGAGCUCCAGCACUGCAGCAAGGCUGGUUACGACAGUGAAGACUCUGGUCGAGAGCCCUCCAUAUCCAGCGACACUCGGACCGACUCUUCCACGGACAGCUCGAGUCACCGCACCUCUCGCAGCCGGUCCCUCCACCAGUCCACGGGCAGCCACCUCUCCAGCGAAUCCCAGACCACAGUAGUCUGUAAUUACGACAUUGGCACACCACCGCACAGUUCUGACAUUGGAGAGUCAGCAGUGGAGGGUCCUCCCCGCCCUCCCUCUCCUCCCCUGCCGGAGUACAAGGAGACGGCUGUCUUCCUCCUCUCCUCCCGCCGGCCACUCACCUCCUCGUCCUCUUCCUCUCGUCCCUUGUCCUCCUCUUCUUCGUCAGGAGUUGGGGGCUGCGAGGGUGGGGUUGGGGGGCCCCACUGGGAGGAUGAAAGCACCAGCAGUGAGAGCAAGUCCAGUUCUUCUGGAGGCCGCUACAGGCCAACCUGGAGGCCCAGGAGAGAGGCCUUGAACAUCGACAGCAUCUUCACUCGACCGAGAGGCUCCUCUUUGGGCUACAACACCUUACCUGGGCCCUCUCUCCCUCCGGAGCCCCAGGACUCCUUUCCCCUGGUGGGACCCACUCCACCCACACAGCAAGGGUCUCAAGAAGUGGAAGGGAGUGUGGUUGUGGAAUUGGAGGCAGGGUUUGGGCUGAUUGGACAGCCCAGGUCUCUGGGCAGUGGACGGACAAUGGGUCCCCCUGCCCCUCCACCUCUGAGAGGGGUGGAGCACCAGCCACGUCUGAUUCAGAGGAUGGAGAGUGGCUACGAGAGCAGUGAGAGGAACAGCAGCAGCCCCGACAGGGAAGUGGGGCAACAAAAACGGGUGCUGAUGUCAGGACCUUCAUGGCGUUCGGUGCCCAAGUCAAAGAGCAGCGGUGCCAUCCUGCAGGAGCUGCCCUCCACCAGCUGGGGCGGCGGCACCAGCGCAGGCUCAGGGCGCAGUGAGCUAGACGAGCUGCAGGAGGAGGUUGCGAGGAGAGCCCGCCAGCAGGAGCAGCAAAAGAGGAGGGAGGCGGAGCGGGAGGCCGCCAUGGGAUUCAAUCCCAAACCCAGCAAAUUCAUGGAUCUGGACCAGCUCCAACACCAGGGUAUGGAGGGAAGAGGGGCAAAGGCAGGAAGUGGGAGCGAGGGAGCUGUGCUCAGACCCCUGCAUGAGGCUAACGCUCAUAGCGGAUUGGCUGUAGCUGCGUGCAUGAGGAGCACUGGGGCGCCAAUCAAACGCAGACAGGAACAGGAAAUGGAACGGGAGACAGGAAGCGCCCGCCCACAGGGGCCUCGCAGUGAACAGCCUGGCCCGGUCCAAGUACUGCUGAUGCCCAAUCAGGAGGAGGAAGAGGACCCGGCAACGCCCAACCAGGACGCUGCUCUGGGCCCAGACCCGCCCCCUCCACCUUAUCGGCCCGCUCCCCCCAGACCCCCGCUCACCCUCAGCAUCCCUCACCCUUGCGCCCCUUCGUGCCAACGGGAGGAGGAGAAAGAGGAGGGCGGAGGCAUGGGGAGGAGAGGGGAGGAAGGCAAGGAUGGGAGGGAGGGGACGGGGGUGAGGCUGUGCGAGUUGCUGCAGGCAGGGGGGGUGAGUGUCAGACCUCUGGGGAAGCACUUAGCCAUCUCUCUGCCCUCGCUUCCUCUGCGUCUCUGGGAUACACACACCGCACACACAGCACACUCCACACACCUUGAACCCCCACACACAAACCCUCCCCCUCCGUCCUCUACUCCUCCCCCAUCUUCCCCUCUGGAAGCCUCUGGGCAAAGGAAACCUCUCACGCCUCUCUGGCAGCCACCCCAGCCACACUCCCCCGCUGGCGCCACUCAGCAUUGGUCGAAGAACGGAGCUGCCGCCGACAGCGGCACACGUCAUUGGUCCUCCUGGAGUCUGGACCGCCCCGACGCCGUCGUGACGCCGUAUGACACGCCCCCAGACCGCUGUGUUCCUAUCAGGCCGCAGGCAUCCAGACAGCGCUACAGCUACAGUUGCCAGUCUUCUCCAGGGCACUACAGCUCCCAGCAUGCCCCAGGGCAGCACGGUGAUCCCUGCUGUGACCGUGAAGAGGCUGAGCUGUCCGAGCUUGACUCCCUUUACCAGGCCAGUCUGCUGGCAGGUACAAAGACAGCCCUGCCUGCGUGUGUGUUUUCAGGCUGCAGCCCGUCAGAGAGGCUCAUAUCCAGGGUGGGAGGGCAGGCUCGCUCCAAGACCCCCAACGCAGACAUGGAGAGGAGUGUGUACGGGGCGGACUGCACCAGCACCCCCACCUACCUCAACAAGCCAAUGAUGUUGCGUGAUCUGCGUCUCGGGGUGGAGCCUGACGAUGGGGAAAACCUGAAGCGAAUUGAACGCAGCCUCAGCGGCACAGUAGUGGCUCCGCGCCGCAGCCGCCUGACUGCAACCCGCAGCUUUGUGAAGCAGGCUGAUGUCAGUGCCUCUCCCUGCUUACUUCCUCUCUUCUGAGUCCCUGUUGCUAUUCCACCACUGUCAUCUCCUCCAUCCUCCUCAUCACCAACACCUUCUCAUCACCACCUCCCUCCACCGCUUCACAGGAGCUUUCGGGUGGUGCAGGGACUUUCUGGCUGUGUCUGACGGGGGUCAAGCUCUCUUCUGACCAGAGUCCUGCUUUUCUUCACUAACGUCUCGCCGUGUUCCACCUCCACAUGGGGCAGCAGCAGCGCCGGGAUCCUCGCCGGCCUUGCCUUGACCUGGAAUCGGCUCAGGAGGAUCAAACUCCUACUCUGUCGCUCCUCCUUCUCGCUCAAACAACAUGCACACGCAGACACAUGCACGCACACAUGCACAUCCGUACUGACGUAGAGCCUCCCUCAGCGCCUGCAGCACCCUGCUUAGCCCCUUUUUGCCUUCCUCCUUCCCCUCCUCCCCCCCCUUCCUUUGACCUACUAUUCUGUCUAUGCAGUCACUCUGACCCCCAAACUACAACCUCAACCUUUCCCCCUCUACUUCCCCAGGACUGUUGUUUCUCGUCUCCCCCCUGGGUUUUCAGAGGGUUCCCCUGUGCAGUCAGCAUGCCGCUCUUGGUGGUGUUGUCGGCUUGGCCGCUCGCUGGCGGGGUCUGUCUGGGACCUGAGCUCUUGGCAGACUCGUCCUUGCCCCCCCCCCCACCACAGGACCCUCAGCUCAGGGGGAGGCGCUUAAUAAGUAGCCACGCCUCUUCCUCUUUCCUCAUGGGCAUUUCCUGUUGGACGCACACGUAGCCGAACUGGGUCUGUUUCCGAUGGACAGCCAUAUUUUUUUUUCUCUUUAGGAUUUUGGAUUUGUUUUCCUUCUCUUCCUGUGUGCGCGCACAGUAAACCCGCCCCGAGAUUGAACUCUCUAAUAACUAAAAGUCAUGUACAGAAAAACUCAUGUAUGAAACCUGUAUGUUAAUUAAUAAGACCUUAUGGAAUGUUGAUAAUGAUAAUUAACGAAAUAUUGAUAAACUUAAAAGUGGUACUUCCUCAUGUCUGCAUUUCAAAUAGGAGUGGAGUGCACUUCACAAGUGUCUAGCUGGAGUUUCCGCCCCUCCCGCCCCCAAACCGCUCGCCGACCUAAUGACAGCUCUCCCGUUUCUACCGGGAGAUUAAACAAGAAAAGCGCUUCCUUUUUCUCUGCUUCUUUCCUCGUUCCUUUCUUUCUUUCCUUCUUUUUUUCUCUCUUUUAUUCGCGCUUGCUUUCUUUCUUACGAACAGGAAACAGUAGCACUAGAAAAAGGCCAACAGGGGAGGGAAGUUGAGAUGGACUGAGAGUAUGUAGGUCAGAAAACUCUUCUCUUAAGGCUUUAUUAAUGAAAAUAGAGAUGACUCAAGUGCGCUUUGCAAGGUUACUCGGCGGAAGUGCACUUUCUGAGAGGCUGUUUGACUGAGAGGCGGCGGGAGAGAAGUCGACGGCGGUUUGUUUUACUUAAAGGCCUCAGGUGAACUUAUCAAUUCACACUUUAUUAUUUCUCCCUCCUACUGAAACUGGUUUUGAGACCUCAGAUGUGAAUAGAAAAUGCUCAUCUUCAGCCUGAGACAGUGACAUGUCGAAUAUGAAUAUGCUUUAUAUGAUAUAUAUGUAUUAGAGGUAUAUUUUCAGCCAGUGAACUAUCUUCUUCAGAGAUGUCAACCAUUCCUCAGUUGUAUGAACAGUUAUUACACAGUAAUGAACAGCUGUAACUUUAAUUCACUCCCCCCUUUUACUGAGGAACAUUCUGACAUGCGUAGAGUACAUUUAUUAUAAGCUUUAUUCUCUUAAAUAUUCUAAAAAAAAGUCCUUAUAAAACAACUGGCCGAUGUAAAGUUCAUGUUGACGGAUUGUUGUAACUAAACCAAAGGUUGGCACUUAACUCAGAAAGCGUAUUUAACAUUUCUGUUUUUGUUUUCAAUUAGGUUCAGUUUUUGUCAGUUUGUUUUUUGUUGUUGUUGUUGUUGUUUGUUUGUUUGUUUGUUUGGGUUCUGGAUGUGGGAGAAUGUAGCCAAUUGUAGCGCAUGAGUCCGCUAUGCAAAUCAACCUUCCCUCACGAUCCUGUAUCAGAGACAGUCAGGAGGCAGACACACCCACCCACGGGGGGCGCUCUCAUGGACUCUGGCAGAGACACGGAGAGGAGGAGGAGGAGGAGGAGGAGGAGGAGAUCUCAUGUUUAAUGCUGCUGGUGAACUUUGUUGUUCUGCAUCUACUACUACGUUUUAACCAAUGGAACGCAAAAGGAGAGCAACGAGGAGGGAGAGAGCGAACGGAGGAAGAGAGCGAAUGAAUGUAAACUCAAAGGAUGAAAGUGUGUGCUUGUGAAUGAUGUGACGUUCAGAGGGUGAAGAGUGAACUACUGCAGGUGGCUUAUUGUUUGUGGGUGUGUGUAGACUGUGUGUCAGUUCUGGGGUGGUGUUGCUCGGGGAAAGAGGGAACCUGUAUUUUUGCAAUAAAGUUAUUACCAAUGCACUCCCACAGGGGGCGUAACCACUGUA